UUUUUCUCUGGUACUGGGAAUAGAGUUCCAAAUUUAAACUCAGCCAGGACAAUUGGGAUGAUAAUAUUCGAGUGAGGGUUGAAAAGGAUCCAGAACUUGGAUUUAGCAUAUCAGGUGGUGUCGGGGGUAGAGGAAACCCAUUCAGACCUGAUGAUGAUGGUAUAUUUGUAACAAGGGUACAACCUGAAGGACCAGCAUCAAAAUUACUGCAGCCAGGUGAUAAAAUUAUUCAGGCUAAUGGCUACAGUUUUAUAAAUAUUGAACAUGGACAAGCAGUGUCCUUGCUAAAAACUUUCCAGAAUACAGUUGAACUCAUCAUUGUACGAGAAGUUUCCUCAUAAGCACUGUGGACAAAAAAAGCGGGGAAGACAGCAAGAUUUAUUGGAAGAUACUUACAGGGGAAAUUAAUAUUUUGACUAUUUUUAUAUAUAAAGAAGAACUCAAAAAAUUAUGUUCAAAUUUGUACAUUAAUGAAAUAAUGGAACUUGUGGUUAGAGGGAAAGAACCACUGUACAGAAUAUAAAGGAGACUGUUGAAUUCAUAC
rnacentral:lncRNA from 1 species